GAAAUGAAGAUUAAUACCCCAUGGUAUGUUUUUAUCGCAUGGUAGAGACAUUAAAGGUUACGGUGUAAGAUGAGNAUGCGUCCUAUUAGUUUGUUGGUGAGGUAACGGCUCACCAAGACGACGAUAGGUAGGGGCCCUGAGAGGGGGAUCCCCCACACUGGUACUGANACACGGACCAGACUCCUACGGGAGGCAGCAGUGAGGAAUAUUGGUCAAUGGGCGAGAGCCUGAACCAGCCAUGCCGCGUGCAGGAAGACGGCCCUAUGGGUUGUAAACUGCUUUUAUACAGGAAGAAACACUCCCUCGUGAGGGAAGCUUGACGGUACUGUAAGAAUAAGGACCGGCUAACUCCGUGCCAGCAGCCGCGGUAAUACGGAGGGUCCGAGCGUUAUCCGGAAUCAUUGGGUUUAAAGGGUCCGUANGCGGGCAAUUAANUCAGGGGUGAAAGUUUGCGGCUCAACCGUAAAAUUGCCCUUGAUACUGGUUUGUCUUGAAUUACUGUGAAGUG
rnacentral:rRNA from 1 species